rnacentral:rRNA from 1 species
CAGCAGCCGCGGGAAUACGUAGGUGGCAAGCGUUGUCCGGAAUUAUUGGGCGUAAAGGGCUCGCAGGCGGUUUCUUAAGUCUGAUGUGAAAGCCCCCGGCUCAACCGGGGAGGGUCAUUGGAAACUGGGAAACUUGAGUGCAGAAGAGGAGAGUGGAAUUCCACGUGUAGCGGUGAAAUGCGUAGAGAUGUGGAGGAACACCAGUGGCGAAGGCGACUCUCUGGUCUGUAACUGACGCUGAGGAGCGAAAGCGUGGGGAGCGAACAGGAUUAGAGACCCCGGUAGUCCCUGUCUCUUAUAC